UACAGAGGGUGCAAGCGUUAAUCGGAUUUACUGGGCGUAAAGCGCGCGUAGGCGGCUAAUUAAGUCAAAUGUGAAAUCCCCGAGCUUAACUUGGGAAUUGCAUUCGAUACUGGUUAGCUAGAGUGUGGGAGAGGAUGGUAGAAUUCCAGGUGUAGCGGUGAAAUGCGUAGAGAUCUGGAGGAAUACCGAUGGCGAAGGCAGCCAUCUGGCCCAACACUGACGCUGAGACACGAAAGCGUGGGUAGCAAACAGG
rnacentral:rRNA from 1 species